GGGUAUAUAGUUCAGUGGUAGAGUACAUGCUUAGCAUGCAUGGGGUCCUGGAUUCAACCCCCAGCACCUCCA
rnacentral:tRNA from 1 species